UACGGGGGGGGCAAGCGUUGUUCGGAAUUACUGGGCGUAAAGGGCUCGUAGGCGGCCAACUAAGUCGGACGUGAAAUCCCUCGGCUUAACCGGGGAACUGCGUCCGAUACUGGAUGGCUUGAGUAUGGGAGAGGGAUGCGGAAUUCCAGGUGUAGCGGUGAAAUGCGUAGAGAUCGGGAGGAAGGCCGGUGGCGAAGGCGGCGCUCUGGGCCGAUACUGACGCUGAGGAGCGAAAGCGUGGGGAGCAAACAGG
rnacentral:rRNA from 1 species